ensembl:lncRNA
GCUAGGGGUGGGAGGAGCCUGUUUGUUGGGCCACGGAGACUGAUCAGAUCUACUAGACGGAGAGCAUUAGCGACACACACACACACACACACACGGCCCGUUUGUGCUGCUGUCGGUUAGUUGAGUUCACAGGCUCCGUCCAUGCCCAUGUGUGUUUGCCCUGACUGGCUCUCUCUUGGAGUGCACACACACUCAUAGAGCCUCACACACACACACACACACACAGGAAUAAUGGUGUUCAUCGGGAUCUCGCUCAAGUCCUUUAUUAAAUACUUCAAGAGGAAAGGUAAGAACCUGUGCCAGACAGCUGUCAUGGAGCGUGUGGUGUGUGUGUGUGUGUGUGUGUGUGUGUGUGUGUGUGUUAGAAGUGUGUGUGAGUGACUUCUCCAUUAGAGGUGUCACCAUUUAACAGUACAGUUUGUGUGUGUGUGUGUGUGUGUAGGUCUGAGGUGGAAUAGUGUAUGUGUGUGUGUGUGUUAGUGUUGUGUUUUUGUCAGGUUUUCAGGUCUUAGGUGGUGGAGUAGUGUGUGUGUGUGUAGGUCUGAUGUGGAGUAGUGUGUGUGUCUGUGUGUGUCUGAGGUGGAGUAGUAGUGACUUCAGAACUUCCUUGUGUGUGUGUGAGAGAGAGAGAGGGGGAGAGAGGGAGAAACAGAGAGGAGAAAGAGAGAGAAUGAGAGAAAGAGGGAGAGAGAGAGAGAGCACACCUGUUUGCUGUGUGUUGUAUGUAUCAGUCAGUAAUGGUCAUAUCAGAUAUAAACACAUCAGCAGUAAUGACUAUUUAUUUAUUUAUUUAUUUAUUUAUUUAUUGUGUUCAGCGAAACUUAGUUGGAUUUCAAACAAAGACAGUUCUGUCAGCUUAUCUCUUGUCUGCUUCUGAAUCAUAGAUAACAAGAUCCCAAGGUCCUGACACACACACACACACACACACACACACACACCUAGACAGACACACCUGUAUGACUCAGAGAAGUGUGUGUGUGUGAUCUUUGAUAGCGGAAGUAGAAGAAACAUUGGCAUCACACACACAGCCCACAUGCACACACUCAAACACACACACAUGCCCUCACACUGAUUGUAAUCAACGUUAAGAGGAAGUGUAUGAGUUUUAUUGGAUACUUUAGAACACUCAGUUUUCUGUCAGUUUUGAAAAGGAUGAGGUCCUCAUACACACACACACACACACACACAGUUUUGAAAAGGAUGAGGUCCACAGCACAAGUGUGUCACGUCAUUGUACCCUUCUGAUCGACUGACCAUGAAUAGUUUGGAACACUGCAAUGAAAUAUGAUAACAUGUCGUCAUGACUACACACAUCAUAGCAAUUAUGUGUGUUUGUAACUCCUUCAACUCUUUCAGCAAGGGACAAGUAAGAUGAAAUAAAUAAACUAGCAGAGCACAUGUAAUGGGUUUGGAAAUGUAACUGCGUGUGUGUGUGUGUGUGUGUGUGUGUGUGUGUGUGUGUGUGUGUGUGUGUGAUGGAGAUGUUACAGGUCCCAUGCAUCCUUUUACAGACAGACAAACAAACGACAUCGAAACCAUACACCUCCUUGACAGACACAGAGGGGUUUGGUCUGAUAAUGUUAGGUGCCCCGUCACCUGUGUGUGUGUGUGUGUGUGUGUGUGAGAGAGUGUGUGUGUGAGUGUGUGUGUGUCACACUGCACUCGUGUCCCCUCUGACCAGUGUGUUUUUG